UUAGGCAUGGUCUCUUGUACUAUAAAUGUAUAUGUAAAGCUUGCAUAGGCUCUCUCUUUAUCUCUCUCUCUCUCUUGGCUGCUGGAUUCAGUUACUGUUCCCUGCUGGUGCAGAUGACUGUGAUCUAUGAGUCUACCCCUAAAUAAAGAACCUUUUAUUAUACUCAGUUCUGAUCUAGUGUGGUACUACUUCAUAGUGUACAUCUGGAACUUAGAUGAAUCCCAAUUCCAUGCCUACUGGGACCAGCUCAAAAGGUCUAUGACCCAAAGGCCUGUGGCCCAGAAGUUCUACCACCCUCAUCUGUCUGACUUGAUUUUACCUACUGAGUGGUUUUUUUUUUUCUUCCCAGAACCUCACCACAGCGGAGCUACCACACUUUGGCAAUUUCCCAGUCUCAUGCAUACUCCCCCCCCCAAAAGGUUGUUUUCCCUGCAGCAAGACACCUUGUGCAGCUUCCAGUUUGUGUUCCCUGCUUGCACGCUGUGGGUGUCUUGAUAUCCUGGCCACCAAAAAGCUCUCUCAGUGUACAGAAUCAAUUUAAUUGCUCUUAAUUUGGCAAACAAAGUAUAUAUGUCAGUAUUUAAGCAGGUGCCAAUGUUGAACCAAGCGGGACUGUUCAUGCUGCCACAUCUCUCUGCUAUGCGGCUGCAACAGUGACACCUUCUGGCCAAUAAAGAUUAUUACACCUACAACAAUUUACUGAAAUUUCAUAACGAAGGUCUCAACAGCCAGGAAAUGAAUGAGCAGCCUCAACCUACAAAAUGGCAGCCAGAAUGGGGCAGCACCAAUCUACUUCAAGAGGGUAAUGGGCAUUCAAAAGGCUCCUUAUUUUGAAGAAUUUGCUAGCCAUUUGGGAAAGAAAACAGCUCUUGCCUGGACUGCUUGAUGAGAGAAAAAGAGAGAGGUUAUGGAGUUGAAUGGAUGGGCAGGAAGGAGCAAUCAUUAGCUGACUGCCAAGUGUGGCCAAAGAUUACAACUGUCCUGUCCCUCUCUCCUGCUCUCCAUAACAACUGUCCUAUCCCUAUCUCUUCUGCUCUCCCUUACACCUAAAACUCCUUACACGGUGGAACAAAGACUGCCAUUAUUCAAGCAGGAAAUAAGAGUUAAAUAAGAAUUAAACAACAACAACAACAACAACAACAAAACAGAGGGUCCCUCCAGGAGUGUUCACAGGCCACACUCUUCCAGACUCAUCUCUUCUAGUAAGGAUCACUUCUUCAUCUUCAUGCUAAGGAAAGGUUAAAAUACUUAUAAUGCUAAAUGUCUGUGGGAGUCUGCGUUUCUCAAUGGAUACCCACGCCCGACCCAGGCUGCGCGCUUCCUGAACUCGGGCCCAUGAGAAGGGACAAUUUCCUGAGGGUUGA